AGGUAAGUUAUAAAGGGCGCAUGGUGAAUGCCUUGGUAUAGGAGCCGAUGAAGGACGGGACUAACACCGAUAUGCUUCGGGGAGUGGUAAGUACCUUUGAUCCGGAGAUUUCCGAAUGGGGAAACCCAAUCAUCUUAGUCGUAGUUCCUAUUAGUGAAUACAUAGCUAAGUAGGGUAGACGCAGUGAACUGAAACAUCUAAGAGCUGCAGGAGAAGAAAGAAAAAUCGAUUCCCUGAGUAGCGGCGAGCGAAACGGGAAGAGCCCAAACCAACGAGCUUGCUGUUGGGGUUGUAGGACUGAACAUUUGAGUUACCAAGUGAGACGUAGUCGAAUAGCUGGGAAGCACAGGCGCGGGUGAUACCCGUAACGAAACCGUACUCUCAGUUCAGGAUCCUGAGACGGGGACACGUGAAACCGUCGGAAUCCGGAGGACCAUCUCCCAAGGCUAAUACUCCCUAGUGACCGUAGUGAACCAGUACCGUGAGGGAAAGGUGAAAAGCACCCCGGAAGGGGAGUGAAACAGUUCCUGAAACCAUGUGCCUACAACAGUGGAGCCUUAAUGGUGACGGCGUGCCUUUGUAGAAUGAACCGGCGAGUUACGAUGCAUGCCAGGUUAAGGUGGAAAAACCGGAGCGUAGCGAAAGCGAGUCUGAAAUGGGCGUAGAAGUAGUUGUUGUAACCCGAACCAGGUGACCUACCCAGUCCAGGUUGAAGGUGCGGUAAAACGCACUGGAGGACCGAACCGUUCAGUUGAAAAUGGUGGGUGAGGUGUGGGUAGCGGUGAAAUUCAAACGAACUUGGAGAUAGCUGGUUCUCUCCGAAAUCUUUAGGGGAGCCUCGGAUAGAAUCAUGGAGGUAGAGCAUGUUUGGACUAGGGCCCGUCAUGGGUUACUGAAUUCAGAUAAACUCCGAAUGCCAUUGAUUUUACUCGGGAGUCAACGGUGAGUGAUAAGUCCAUGGUAAAGGGGAACAGCCCAGAUCACAGUAAGGUCCCUAAAUAUAUGCUAAGUGGAAAAGGUAGUGGAUUGCAGACAACUAGGAUGUUGGCUCAAAGCAGCCAUCAUUUAAAGAGUGCGUAAUAGCUCACUAGUCGAGUGAUCUGCCGCGAAAAUGUACCGGGGCUAAGCAUAUUACCGACUGGAUGAUCCUAGGAUGCGUGGUAGGAGAGCGUUCAAGGGCAUGAAGUCAGACCGUAGGACGGUGGAGCGCUUGAAGUGAGAAUGCCGGUAUGAGUAGCGAAAGACAGGUGAGAACUUGUCCACCGAAUGACUAAGGUUUCCUGGGGAAGGCUCGUCCUCCCAGGGUAGUCGGGACCUAAGUCGAGGCCGAAGGCGUGACGAUGGAAACAGGUUGAUAUUCCUGUACCAGUUGAAUGUGUUUGAAGAUGAGGGACGCAAGAGGCUAAGCAACCGACGAUUGGAAGUUGGCCAAGCAGCAAGUCUUGUUGAGUGAAAUGCUUAUCAGCGUGACAAGUGUGAUGGGGAGCGAAAUUAAGUAGCGAAGUUGAUGUCACCUUCCGAGAAAAGCUUCUAGGAAUAUCAACUGCCCGUACCGCAAAACGACACAGGUAGUCGAGGAGAGAUCCUAAGGUGAGCGAGGAAAUCUCGUUAAGGAACUCGGCAAAAUGACCCCGUAACUUCGGGAGAAGGGGUGCUGAUCGCAGUGAGCCGCAGUGUGAAAGGCCCAGGCGACUGUUUAUCAAAAACACAGGUUUCUGCAAAAUCGUAAGAUGAAGUAUAGGGGCUGACGCCUGCCCGGUGCUGGAAGGUUAAAGGGAGGUUAGCUUCGGCGAAGCUCGAAUUGAAGCCCCAGUAAACGGCGGCCGUAACUAUAACGGUCCUAAGGUAGCGAAAUUCCUGUCGGGUAAGUUCCGACCCGCACGAAAGGCGUAACGAUCUGGGCACUGUCUCAACGAGAGACUCGGUGAAAUUGAUAUCCUGUGAAGAAGCAGUACCCGCGACAGGACGGAAAGACCCCAUGGAGCUUUACUGUAGCUUGAUUUGAGUGUUGUACCGCUUGUACAGGAUAGGUAGGAGCCUAGAGCCGGACGCUAGUUUGGCGAGGCGUGUGGGAUACUACCCUGCAUUAUGACACUCUAACCCGCACCACUAUGUGGUGGGAGACAGUGUCAGGUGGGCAGUUUGACUGGGGCGGUCGCCUCCAAAAGAUAACGGAGGCGCCCAAAGGUCCCUCAGAAUGGUUGGAAAUCAUUCGCAGAGUGUAAAGGCACAAGGGAGCUUGACUGCGAGACAGACAGGUCGAGCAGGGACGAAAGUCGGGCUUAGUGAUCCGGUGGUCCGAUGGAAGGGCCAUCGCUCAACGGAUAAAAGCUACCCUGGGGAUAACAGGCUUAUCUCCCCCAAGAGUCCACAUCGACGGGGAGGUUUGGCACCUCGAUGUCGGCUAUCGCAUCCUGGGGCUGUAGUGGUCCCAAGGGUGGGGGUUCGCCCAUUAAAGCGGUACGCGAGCUGGGUUCGAACGUCGUGAGACAGUUCGGUCCCUAUCCGUCGCGGGGCAGGAAAUUGAGAGGACUGUCCUUAGUACGAGAGGACCGGGAUGGACCUACCGCUGGUGUACCAGUUGUUCGCCAGGAGCUAGCUGGGUAGCUAGUAUGGAUGAGAUAAACGCUGAAAGCAUCUAAGGUGAAACUCGCCUCAGAUGAGAUUUCCCAUCUUCCUGGAGUAAGACCCCUCAGAGAUGAUGAGGUAGAUAGGAUGGAAGUGGAAGUGCAGGAGCAUGGAGCGGACCAAUACUAAUCGGUCGAGGACUUAACCAAGUU
rnacentral:rRNA from 1 species